rnacentral:rRNA from 1 species
GAUCAUGGCUCAGAUUGAACGCUGGCGGAAUGCUUUACACAUGCAAGUCGAACGGCAGCACGGGGCAACCUGGUGGCGAGUGGCGAACGGGUGAGUAAUAUAUCGGAACGUGCCCAAUCGUGGGGAUAACGUAGCGAAAGUUACGCUAAUACCGCAUACGAUCUACGGAUGAAAGCGGGGGAUCGCAAGACCUCGCGCGAAUGGAGCGGCCGAUAUCAGAUUAGGUAGUUGGUGGGGUAAAGGCUCACCAAGCCAACGAUCUGUAGCUGGUCUGAGAGGACGACCAGCCACACUGGAACUGAGACACGGUCCAGACUCCUACGGGAGGCAGCAGUGGGGAAUUUUGGACGAUGGGCGCAAGCCUGAUCCAGCCAUUCCGCGUGCAGGAUGAAGGCCUUCGGGUUGUAAACUGCUUUUGUACGGAACGAAACGGUCUGCCCUAAUACGGUGGGCUAAUGACGGUACCGUAAGAAUAAGCACCGGCUAACUACGUG